AUGCCGGGCGCUGAGGCCGACGGCGCCGGCGGCGCCGGCGCCUCCUCCUCCUCCACUGCAGAUAGUUUUGACGCCGGGCAGUACGCCUUCUUCGGGAAGGAGCCGCGCGACGGGCUCGAGCUAGGUUGCUUGGAGGCUGAUGGUGGCCAUGGCAAUGGCGGUGGAUUCAGCGGGCCAGAGGAUGGUGGCUUGUACCGGCUCUCUUCGGUUGGAGAAGAGAUUGACAAUCUAAGUAACUUGUCGGACGUCGAUGAUCUUGCGAGUACUUUUGCUAAGUUGAACCGAACCGUUAGUGGAACACGGAAUCCUGGUGUUAUCGGUGACAGACGAUCCAUUUCAAGAGGAAGUUCUUUAACUGUUGAUUGGACUGAGGAUGUAGAGUUUCCCAAUUAUCAAGAUAUAUUAGAAAAUGAGGAAUUCCAGGAAGGUAAAAGAUGGUGGUCAUCACAGUCACAUUCUUUGGUGCAGCAAGGGGACAGCAAACCGCUAAGUCGAACAUCUUCCUAUCCUCAGCAGCCACUGCAGCACCGUUCCAGUGAACCUAUCACAGGACCAAAGUCUCCUCCGUUUACCUCGUUUCCGCCACCAGGUGGUAGAUCACCACAUCCUGCUCAAGGUCUUACACGUCAUGGGAGCAUUCCAUCAUUUGGAGCUGGGAUACAGAUGGGUUCUCCGAGCAUGCCACUGCCAGGUUCCCCGUAUCAUAUGGUUGGGUUACCUCAUGGACUACCAUAUGGGGGAAGCAUGCCCUUUGGUGGUCCUAAUAUGCAUGUAGGCAAUCCAAUGCAAAAUGACUGGUCAAACCAAGCCAACCUGUUCACUGGGGAGCACCUUAAUCUACUGCCAAACUUAUUACAGAAACAAAUAUCGCUUCCGAAUAGCCCAAUGUCAUCACUGCUAUUCUCUCAGCAACAGCAGAGAUUGGCACAGCUCCAACCAUCCCACCAUCAGAAUUACCUAAAUUUACCACCCCACCUAUUCUACCAUCAUCACCCCCCAGAGAUACCAGGCAGGUUUGAAUCUGCUACCAGUCUUCCUUCAUCAAGAGACAAGAGAUCAAGAUCAGGAAGGGGAAAACACAGUUUACGUUUUUCUCAACCACCAUCUGAUACUACUGGUAGUCAGAACGGUGAGAGUGGUGGACUGAAGUUUAGAUCCAAGUACAUGUCAUCUGAAGAGAUCGAGUCUAUUCUAAGAAUGCAGCACUCGGCAAGUCACAGCAGUGAUCCUUAUGUUGUUGAUUAUUAUCAUCAAGCUUGCAUGGCGAAAAAGGGUUCCAGUUCUAAGCAAAAGACCAAUUUCUCCCCAACAUCAGUUAAAGACUUGCCCUCCAAGUCUAGAUCAAGUAGUGACCAGCAUGCAUAUCUUCAGGUCGAUGCUCUUGGGAGAGUUUCUUUCUCUUCCAUUCGCAGGCCCCGGUCUCUUCUUGAAGUUGACAAUCCUUUGUCAGGUGAGGGUCCUCAUGAUCAGAAGUCUUCGGUGAGGUCCCUGGAGAAAGAACCUAUGCUAGCAGCCAGGGUCACUGUUGAAGAUGCCAUUGGUCUUCUUCUUGAGGUGGAUGAUAUUGACAGGCUCCUGCAGUCUAGCCAGGCACAGGAGAAUAGCUUUCAGCUGAGGCGAAGGCGACAAGUUCUCCUUGAAGGUCUAGCCGCAUCACUUCAGCUUGCUGACCCUCUUGGGCCCAGCAAAUCUGCCAAUUCAUCUGGUUUAGCCCCUAAGGAUGAUAUUGUCUUUCUUCGCAUUGUUUCUCUUCCCAAAGGACGUAAGCUUCUGGCUCGUUAUAUCCGGCUUAUUGUCCCUGGAAGCGAGUUGACCAGGAUUGUGUGCAUGGCUAUUUUCCGACACCUGAGGUUCUUGUUUGGGGGUUUACCAUCAGAUUCAAGUGCAGCAGAGACAACAGUUGCUCUGGCAAAGACUGUUUCGACUUGUGCUCACCAUAUGGAGCUUGGUGCUCUUAGUGCUUGCCUUGCUGCAGUCGUCUGUUCAUCUGAACAACCACCUCUCCGUCCUCUUGGUAGCUCUGCUGGUGACGGGGCUUCUCUUAUUAUCAAGUCAGUACUGGACCGAGCAACUGAGUUGCUGACUGAUCAGCGUGCCGUAUCCAGCUAUACCCCGUCAAACCGAGCUCUCUGGCAGGCAUCGUUUGAUGCUUUCUUUGGGCUUCUGACAAAAUACUGCCUCAGUAAGUAUGAAAGUAUUCUGCAGAUGUUUGUGAUGCAGGCAUCAGGCUCUGUGAUUGGAUCUGAAGCCUCUCAAGCACCCAGCAGGGAGAUGCCAGUAGAGUUGCUACGUGCAAGCCUCCCUCACACAAACGAGCAGCAACGGCAGAUGCUGCUUGAUUUCGCUCAGAGAACCACGCCUGCCAGCAGUUUUAAUCCCCCUGGUGCUAGCGGUGGACACAUCUCUUCUGAAUCGGUUCCUGGUUAA
rnacentral:rRNA from 1 species